GUGAAAAUGAAGUAGAAUAAUUUAACCUAAUUUGCAAUCACUGCAAUAGAAUUAAAUUAUAGAAAUACAUUUUUAAAAUAUUUUUGUGUAAGUGUUUUAUUUUAUAUUAAAUUUUUUUUAAAAAAUCUAGUAAAACCUAAAUAUAAAGCUCAAUCCAACCAAAAAUAAAAAGUUCUGUAUUCAACCAAUCUUACCCAGCCUACUCGGUUCAAUUACAAAUAGAAAGAAAAAAAAAAAAAAUUGAUCACCUUCUUCCCUUCUCCUCCUCUGCAACAGCCGACAAGCUAGGGUUCCUGCAGCUAGAGUUCGGCCACGAAGAUCUCGCAGGGACCGUACAGGGCUACGAUCGCCAUGUGUCCUUCUACUACAGGUCGAUGGAGGAGUGGGUGCCAAAGAUCGAGACGGCCCCACAUAUAGCGACCCCAUAUAUAACAAUACUUUUAAAAAGUGUCGAUACUUUAGCCAGCAGCAUUUUUUUUUUGCCUUGUACCGAUAUUUAAAAAUAUUCCUAUAUAUACACU
rnacentral:lncRNA from 1 species